rnacentral:rRNA from 1 species
UAUCAAUAAGCGGAGGAAAAGAAACCAACAGGGAUUACCUCAGUAACGGCGAGUGAAGCGGUAACAGCUCAAAUUUGAAAUCUGGCCGCAAGGUCCGAGUUGUAAUUUGUAGAGGAUGUUUCGAGCAUGGUCUGGCCUAAGUUCCUUGGAACAGGACGUCAUAGAGGGUGAGAAUCCCGUAUGCGGUCAGGUGCCUACGCUCAUGUGAAACUCCUUCGCCGAGUCGAGUUGUUUGGGAAUGCAGCUCAAAAUGGGUGGUAAAUUUCAUCUAAAGCUAAAUAUUGGCCAGAGACCGAUAGCGCACAAGUAGAGUGAUCGAAAGAUGAAAAGCACUUUGGAAAGAGAGUUAAACAGUACGUGAAAUUGUUGAAAGGGAAGCGCUUGCAACCAGACUUGCGCGCGGCUGAUCAUCCGGGCUUCUGCCCGGUGCACUCGGUCGCGCUCAGGCCAGCAUCGGUUUUGGUGGCGGGAUAAAGGCCUUGGGAAUGUAGCUCCUCUCGGGGAGUGUUAUAGCCCAGGGUGGCAAUGCCGCCUACCGGGACCGAGGACCGCGCU